AUCCCGUGGUCGAAUCUGGAGAGCAAGGCCUAUUAAUGUCGAACACACGUUUCUUAUUUGGAGUCACCAUCUUGGAAGAUAUGUGCUUCCUGCAGUGCCUAUGUGGUGAAUGGAAAAACAUGAAAAAGCAAAGAAAUAUGCUUACCAUCCAACAGACAGGACCAUAAGACCGAACAGGAGAUCCCAAUGAAGCCACCUUUCAUUUUCUACUAAAUAUGAUAGCUGGCAAAAUCUGACUGUGGACUGUUACAUUUCUGCAGCUUUGAGCAUCUCGCUAUCAAACCACAAAGCUUAGCAUGAAGGUCAUUAUCCCAGGCAGCAUCUUCCUUUGACUAACUUCUCAGAUCCGUAAACAAUAAGCAAUUGUGAGAGAUUGAUAUGAUACUUUGUGAGUAAUUUGGAUGAACUAUAAUACCAGCCUGGUAAAGUAUUAUAAUUUUAAAUGUGUCCAGAAAAUAAUUGAAAUUCUGGUUUAAGCUUCCUCCUUAAUGCACAGUGCCGGGCAUAUUUAACAGCUGACUAGUUUAGUAUGAGCAUUGCUUUACAAAUGAGGUCAUAUUGUUUUUAAGAAACAAUAUUGCUAUCAAACUUGUUUAAGGGGGAAGUGCAAGAAAUUCGGGUAAGUCUGCUUCACCUUUCUGUCUCUGUCUGUACUAUUUUUGCAUAAGUGUGGGCAAUAAACCCAUAAUCAACAGCCAGGACUCUAAGUUUAAACACUAUCCCUAUGAAAUUCUUCAGAAACAAGCCUUGAUGCAAUAUAGCUUCAGUUGAAUUAAUCCAUUAAAACAAGUAAAUCCAAGCG